rnacentral:rRNA from 1 species
AUUGAACGCUGGCGGCAUGCCUUACACAUGCAAGUCGAACGGCAGCACGGGAGCAAUCCUGGUGGCGAGUGGCGAACGGGCGAGUAAUAUAUCGGAACGUGCCCAGUAGUGGGGGAUAACUGCUCGAAAGAGCAGCUAAUACCGCAUACGACCUGAGGGUGAAAGGGGGGGAUCGCAAGACCUCUCGCUAUUGGAGCGGCCGAUACCAGAUUAGCUAGUUGGUGGGGUAAAGGCCUACCAAGGCAACGAUCUGUAGUUGGUCUGAGAGGACGACCAGCCACACUGGGACUGAGACACGGCCCAGACUCCGACGGGAGGCAGCAGUGGGGAAUUUUGGACAAUGGGCGCAAGCCUGAUCCAGCAAUGCCGCGUGCAGGAAGAAGGCCUUCGGGUUGUAAACUGCUUUUGUCAGGGAAGAAAUCCUCUAGGUUAAUACCCUUGGGGGGAUGACGGUACCUGAAGAAUAAGCACCGGCUAACUACGUGCCAGCAGCCGCAGUAAAAC